ACUCAGAGGGCAACGGAGAGAACAUCAAAUGAAAUAUACUUAGUUCUUCUGGUCUUGUUUUUUGACUAAUUUAAUAUUUUUAAAAACCCCAUCUGAUGGAGUUUGUGUUGUGUAUAUCCGUGCUUUGCUCUGCAUGUCUGCCUGUUAGGAUAUCUUAAUAAUUCUUUGAGAUAAAGAGAAAGUCUCGGCUGAAUACAAUAAGGUUUCCACUUUAAUUUCCCCCUCACGUAACUUUAAGAAUGUAAAAAUCAUCUUGUUCCACAUUGUCUGAUAAUAUAUGUAUUACAGAUUGUUCCAGCUCCUAAUUGAAGCUACAGUAUCGUAUGUUGAGUGAAAUAUUCAAAGCGAAGACUUUUCAUUUUUCAUGGCUAUGCUGGUCCAUCAAAUCGAAAUAUUCUGUCUAGGGCUUUUCCCAAAUUCAUCCUGACAUACUGUAUGUGGCAUCUUUGAAACUUUGACAUCGCUACUAAAAUUUAAUACAAAGUUCUUUGGGUUCGAAUAAAGUUAUGCUGCACAACUCAAGUUUGUGUUGAGUGAACCUACCAGUUCCACAACAGUGGUUAAAAGGUAAAAGAGGAGCUUGAGUUUGGUUUUACUUACAGUUAACAUGCUAAUCUAAUGUACAGUGAAAUCACUGAGUUGAGCUCAGGAUGAAUCCAGUACAAUCAUAUAUUUUCAUCUGUAGCAAUUUCCUUUUUUUCAUGCAUGUGACUUGGAUUAUUACAGAGCUUUUUAAGUUGUGCUGCCUAAAUGAAACAGUAUUUGCAGUGGUGAUAUCACUGCAAGCAUGAACUGAUCUAAUCAAUUAAGUAAAUAAAGAAUAGGGCAACAGACAGUCAGCUGAUAAAAACACAAUUUCUUAUACUGAGCCCGUAAGGUACUGUGCAUGGUUUAUGUAUGGCAGGAAUGUUUCCUGAACCAUAAUUUAAAUGAAGAUAAUAACAAGAAAUAGUCUAUCUAUCUGUCCGUCCGUCCGUCUAUCUGUCUAUCUAUCUAUCUAGAGGUUCUCCACAGUGCUACAGGUAAAUGUCUUUUCUUCUUCUAUAACUGAAUAGGUUGUUUGAUCCUAAUCACCAAAAAGCACAGAAAGUACACACAUAAAAUAAACUGAAAAUGAAAAACUCUGGUUUGUCUAAGCAGAAUCCAACUAUAGAUUUAAUUUUAGGCAUCUACAUCUAAAAUGCUACUAGAACAAAGUAGAUGAAUGGAAAACUCAGUUGCGACACACCUUUCCAGUAACCACGGCAUUGUUAAUUGGAACAAUGAACAUCACCAGAGCACAAUGGCUGCAGUUGCAACUAGAACUACUGUCUACUUAAGAAAUUGUCCCACUCUCUACUAUCUGGACUAGAAGCCUCAGCCUCACUGGACAAGGGCUCCUCACAAAUCUCAAUUUAACUCCUGGAUAAAGCUUAUCAUGACCACCAUCUUUGUUCAGUUUCGGGUGUAUGCAGCCAUGAUUUGCCUUUCAUUGUUCCAUCUUGAUGUGAUCGCUCCAACAUACACAUUGGCUCAUAGUCUGUCAGCCUGUGCUGUUCAACUGUCUGUCUGUCUCAUCUCCAGGCUUCGCCUACGUAUUUGUUUGCAUGUUUAUUCCAGUCUUUGUCACUACUUUGUGUCCAUCUGCCUGUCCAUCUGUCUGGAUGAGUAAUCAAUAGUCUCUUCAUUUUACAAAUGGAAGGAGAUGGGAGGAAGCUACCUCAGGAAGCCAAUCAGAUAGGGUAAGUGGGAGGGAAGGACAUUUCAGAUCCAAAUCAGCUGAAAUGAAUCACAAGGGUGCAGCUGAUUCAUAGGGCAAAGCUUGAUUUAGGGCUGGAUAGACAUGAUUCAACAACAAACUGGCUCUGUUUCAUAUUAGAUGUACUUGUGCUUUUGACAUUUACGAAUGGUUGCAAACUUCAGUGUUUACAAAUUUUCUGCACAUGGGUCCACACUGGUGCACAUGUGCUCACUGAUGACCCCACAUUUUUCACAUCAGUUAGUAGUCAUUUUUAGUUUAAAAAUGACAGACAAUGUUGAAAAUACAAUCCAAAGUGAAAGGCAAUCCAACAAAAGUAAAUACACAAACUUGUGAACACUGAAAGUAAAUUGAGUACACCUGUGGCUUCCAACUAGCCUAACUGCAUGAAAAUGGUUCUUAAAAACCGUGUGAACAAUAGAACCUUCUCAAUCUUCAACCAGUGGGUGUGUCUAUCUGCAUGUCUGCUUUAAAGUACCACUAAUCAGAGCCAUAAUGGCCAUCUUUUGCAAUGGACAGCAAGCUACUGUCAUAUUUCAGCUCUGAAAGUCAGAUAGGCAUGUGUUUCACAGUCGGCAUAGGGAUUAUCAAUGGAAAUUGGAGUUCUUGUAGACAGUGUGAAGGACAGCCGCCUCUAUAGAUGGCAUCUGUGAAAACAUCCUUGCUUGCUCUUAGGCACAAAACUACAAGAUAAAACUUUGCGAAAUAAUCUGAAACCAGGAGCAUAUUUGUUGGUCAGAUGAAACAGAGAUGCAAUUGUUGGGUUCAGCACGUUUGGUGUGAACCUGGCCAGGACAACCACAAUGAAUGCACAGUCCUGACAGUGAAGCACCACAGCAGGAGUGUGACAGUAUGAAGCUACUUAAGUGCAAAUGGAGUUAAGAAGAUGUCUUCUUUGGAUAUACUUCAAUACUGGAUGAUUCCCAGUCUGCAGAAUGUUGGAAAAAGAAUAUUCCUCCAUGACAAUGAGCACAUUCCCCAAAGUGUCUUUUUUGGAAAAAGUGCAAACUAUUACUUAGCCAAGAGUAUCUGACUAUGAUGCAAUAGAACACCUUUGGGUUUUUUAAGAGAAAGGUAGAACACAAGGCCUCCAGCAAAGAGCAGAUGAAAAAUAAAUAGUCUCUGAAGAGUGGCAGAACAUCUCUCCAGAUAUCUGAGCUACACUAGUAUCCUCCAUGCCAAGGAGGCUUAAUUUUUUCAUCAAAAAUAAAGUUUGACAUAUAAAACACUAAAAAUUAAAACAUUUGAAUCUCAGUAAUGAAAAGUGUACUGGCUUUUGCUGAGUUCUUUCUGUGGAGCCUACAUUUUUAAUGUCGAAAAUCUGAACUGUUAGUUUUUAUAUUUCCAUAAGCACAAAUACCAAACUGUUCAAGUUAAAAGCAAUACAAUUAUCUAAGGUGAUAGAAUUACAAUCCUUUCAACAUUUGAGGGAUAUUGCACAGGUGUGUACUCACUUCUGUUGUGUUCUGCAAAAGCCAGACUGAACAUUAAUCCUAGGAUUUUAGUUUACAUUUAAAAGUAUACAUAUUUUCACUUUCUCAUUAUCUGGAUGGGUCAGAGCAUAGUGGCUGAACACAACAUCACCAAAUGUGUUGCAGAACAACAUAAAGAAAAGAAUCUGAGUGGCCUUCCUGGUUCAUAAACCAAAAGCAUUUCAGAGUCUGCUGUACGGCCAUGUAGUGCCCUUUAAACUAAUACAAGUCUGUCUCUAAUGAAUCUUAGAUUUGCACAGAUCCGACCUACACAGGAUGCUUGAAGUGACUAAAUGUAAAUGUGGUCUCAUUUGCUCAGUCAUCAGUGUGCUUCACUGACAUUGGAAUCCAGCCAUACUGCAUAAUAUUUUUGCAUGCAGCACAAAAUGUAGAUUUUUGCCCCUUAUCUUUUGGAGUCAAGUUUAAGAAGGCCUGUUUUAAAGCAACUAUGCAAUAGAAGUGAUUACAGUGGCCAGCAAAAGUAAGUUUGGGAUCAGUGUAGUGUAUGAAGAAAGACUGAGGAAUCCAAACAAGAAGAUGAAGACAUUCUUUUUACAUUUUUUGUAGCUCCUUUCUUGCUCUGUGUCCUCUUCAUUUAAAUGCUGAGAGGUCAGCAAGUGUAACGGAGGAAGAGGGAUUACAGCCCCAAAAAAGGGGGUGAACCCAAACCCUCGUUGGGGAAUUUACACACAGGCGAUGAAAAAUGGCUGCCUCGAAGACUACAUCACUUGUUCCCACCUGCAGUCUCUGCAGCUUACGGAAGCGCUUCAUCCUGAACUGUUCCAUUUUCAAAGCCACUGCCUGGUUCCAUAUUCAUAACCAUUCCUGUAUGAAUGUCCUAUUCCAUUUCAGCCCACAGACAAAUCACCUGCUUAGACCCAGAAUUCUAACCCUGUUCUCUGUGCACUGAUUGAUCUGUCUCCUAUCUCCCCGCAGCAGCUUUAUUUCAAAUCUGAAAGCAAACAUUAGCAGCCCGAACAUUACGCUUCUCCCUUAUAUUCUAUCUCUUUUCCCGUCUCUACAUUACAUCUCUCUCUCUCUCUCUGGCUCUUGCUAUCACAUCCAGGAAUCAUCCGUCAGUGCAGUGAGGGAAUAAUAGGAGCUCCCUCUCACUAGGUCGAAGUGACUGCUGUACCUUCCAUUACAACUGAGACAUGAGUGAUUGCCUCGGAGAUACAAAGUAGGGAAUAUGAAUGAACUGGGCUUCGUUAGAAAGAGAAAGGGUGGUGCUGGCAUUACUGGUGGCUACACCUUUGUUUAAGGCUGGAAGCUGUGGAAUUUCUCCCUCUCUGAUGCACUACAUCUCCAAUAAACCUGAGAGUCGUUCCAGGGCUUUGAUAUAAGAUGGCGCCCCUCCUCUUCUCUAAUACAUAUUGGCUUUAUCUUCCAAACGGGGGCCACUUCAAUGAAAUGUGCAAGUUCUUUUUUCCCUCUUUCUUUUGGAUGGCAUCAAAGCUCUUUUCCAAGGGCCCCUUGAAAAACAAAUUGUCUCCCUCUUGAAAGCAUAUGGCGGUGGUGCGUGCUUGGUGGAAAUAAAGAAAUGUCCACAUGAUUUAUGUGCCAUAUGAUUUCCAGUACAAUUGCAGGGAGAACAAAAGACGAAGAAAUGUCUUGUGCUUCAGCAUUGUAUUGUACGUUGCUUUGAUAAGCAGGCAUUCUUUCUGCAAAUGAAAGAAAUGUGUCAUCUUUUUCGAAAAUUCUCUGAGCUUUCAUCACUUUGUUUGUCCCUCCGUGCCUGCUUUUGUUUCACCCGCUCUGCCUCUGAAGUAGUUUUUGCAGGGCAGAGGGUCUCAUUGUAUCUUUCUGUGUCUGACUUUUUCUCUUCUUUUCUGUCUUUGUCAUUCUUGCCAUUCAAAAUCUGGAGUCUGGCCUUUGUCUCUGUUCGAACACGAAAACUUUCAGUACAAAGACACAGGAUGGCAGAUCUAGAUGGAUGACAUGAAGUUCUACCUUUUCCUGAACCUCGUCCCAGUACCAACAUACAUCAGUCAGUCACAACAUUAAAACCAGUCCACCUUGUUUUACCAGAACAGCUCUGACCGAUCAGAUCUGGACUCUACAAUCAGGCUUUGAGCUUGAACUUUUUUCCAGCACACCCCAUUGAUGCUUGAUGCUCGGAGAUCUCUGGAAUUUGGAACCUUACAGAAACAACACCUGAAUUUCACAUGGUUUCCACAUGUGGUACCAUGUCACAAACACUACACAUUUUCUAAGAUUCAUCAUAAAUGCAGUAAUGUGUGGACCAUUUCUCCAGGUGCAACAGGUCAAGGCAGGAGUUAACUGAAGGAGAGAUGAAGCUUGCAUUCACUCAUGUGUAACCCAUGGGAUAACAAUUACAAUCACAGGUGAGACACAGAAUCCAGUGUUUUUCCCAUGAAGCAUCUCCCUCUGUCUUGCAGGCACAGUGUAUAGUGUGCACUGUAGUAGUGUAUUUCCCUCUGGUUCACAGAUAGUGUUGGCUCAAUUGUGAAGGUUACUGGUCACAAAUUCACGGUUGAAGCUCCAGCACCACCAGGUUUAACCCUAUCUGUUGCACUGUUGUGUGUUUUUGUACGAAAUGACUGCAUUUGUUGUAAUCAGUGCAGUGAUAAUGAAGUAGAUUCUUUUGUUUUACAUGAGGUCCACAUAUAAUCCCAUGGGUUGCACAUAGGAGUACACGCUGCCACUAUGAAAGUGUUCCAAAACUGUAUGUUUCUGUUGUUUAAAGCACGUAUUUUACUUGUGUUCCACAUUCUUUUCUGUGUGAUUUUAACAUGUUUUCACAUAUUAAAUUUCGCUUGUGCAACAAUGAUUGUACAUGUGAUCAUGUGAUUUUUCUCAAACCACUCCCAGACAAAGUUUGCAGUGAGGCAGAGAACAUUAUCCUGCUGAAACAGGUCACUAUCAUCAGGGAAUACUGCUGCCGUGAAGCGGUGCACGUUGUCUGUUAGGUAGGUGUCAAAGUAACAUCCACAGGAAUGCCAGAACAUUGCCCAGAGCAUCACACUGCCUCCACCGAGUUGCUUUUUUCUCAUCAUGCAUCCUACUGCCAUCUUUUCCACAGGUGAGCUGGCACACACACCUGUUCAUCCGUAUGAUGUAAAAGAAAAUGUAGUUCAUCUGACCAAGCACCUUCUUUUAUUGGCCCAUGGUCCUGUUCUAAUGCUAAUGUGCUCGUUGUAGGAGCUUUUAGACAUGAGCAGGAGUCAGUAUGGACACUCCUACCAGUCUGCAGCUACAUAACACCAUAUCCAGCAAGGUGCGAUGCCCAGUAUGUUCUGGUAUCUUUCUGUCAUAGCACCAUUAAGGUUUUAAGCUUUUUAAUCCAGAUAUGGAUCACCAGUUCAUCAGUAAGCCUUCCUUUGACCACUGUUGGUAGGUUCUGACCACUGUUCCCUCUAAGCUGCGCGCGUGCGCAAUUGCGCACUGCUGACACGGUCUCCGCGCACAGAAAAUCUGCGCUGCGCACAAAAAAAAAAAAAAAAUCCAACCUAAAUUGUAAAUAAAAUAAACACGUAACAAUUCAUUCUGUGCUAUUUUUCAGUGUGAGUCAGUGAGUGACCGGUGACUGGCUGCUGCAGCCAAUGAUGCGAUUCACAUACGUAUUUACCAUAGACUGUAUAUAAUGGUAUUUACGCAGCUAAUCAACGUCAGGCGUCCUUAUGUGCAGCCAUCGUUGUUGUCAUAGAUAUGAAUGAGUAGAUAGGACACGCCCAUAGAUAUGAAUGAGUAGAUAGGACACGCCCCUUUGAGCUGCGUGCUACAGCGAGGCUAAGCUAGUGGGGGCAAAGUUUCAGUGCAUUCUGUUGAUGUAGACGGCGUGAAAACGGAAACAACAAGUAUGCCAGCUCACUGUGCUGCAUACAGUUACACACUGCGUCGUACGAUAGAGACAAGGAAACUUGGAAUGACUUUUCAUAGGUUUCCCAGAGACUAUGGGUUGAGGAGGAAUUGGAAGUUUGUCGGCUUAGACCUGGUGUCAUUCCAUCAGUGUUAAACUUCCCGGCUCAUCUUGGAAGAGUACGUGCCAGAAAGACCACGACCAAGCAGCCUUGAGAUCUUAGACAGCGUCUCCCUCAGACCAAAGAACUACAGACUCUUCACAACCUGCUCAAACUCUUGGUACAGGACCUCACCACACGGGUCAAGAAGGUUUCUGUCUCAUUUCUACUCUGAAGCUCACCUUCUCCUGCUCAAACUGCUGACAAAUGUUUCUGCUGCUCUAAAGUCUGGUCUCCAGAACUUCCUAAAAACUCUCAAAGUCUCUUCUGCUGCAGGCUGCUUUGUAGAACUGUUCCAGAAAACCUCACUAAACCACAUGGAGGGGCCUCAAGAUAGUCGUCCAAAUGAAACCAUACAAAAACCAAACUAGUACAACCUAAACGCUAAAGUCUCCUGCAGCCUACCAGAGAACCUCUGAGAACAGAGAAUCAGGACAGGAACUCUUACCUUCUGGACAACCAAUGCUGGUUCUCAAACAAGAAUACAGAAUGUGUCUGACCAAAAACCUCUGAAGACUCACUACAGCCAAGAUAAAGACACAACUCAGCUGCAUCAAAUCCACUAAUCACUGCACACAUUAGUACCAUGUGCUAACUGUGGCUAAAGAACCACAUUUACCAAGACAACUAUCCAGUACAAAGCCCUAAAACACACCAAGAAACACAUUAAAGACGAUUUUACUGCUGGAAGCUGCAAGCCAACGCCUAAAGAAACUAAAGCAAUGGAGCCAAACCCGGUUCAGUGGUGAAGAGAAACAGAGGAAAUGUUUGUCUGCAGCUAAAUAAAGCAGGAAGACACUGAGCUGCUGAGGUGUUCCUGAUAACACCAAGCUGCUCAGGUGUUCCUGAUAACACCAAGCAGCCACCUGGAUAGCCAAUAGGAACACAGCUUACUGGAAGUCCAGAGGGCUGGCUUAGUCAAGGAAAUUUAGUUUAAAGUUGAAGCAGAAAGUUAAUAAAGAAAGUUGAAAACCACCUUCUGAUACCUGAAAUCUCUGAGUUUUCACACAAAGAACACCUGAACAUGUCAAACUGGUUUCAUAGUAGAACCAUCAUUGUAAAAACGUCAUAGUAUGGUGUGUUGCUCAAAAAACAUUAGGACCCAGCUGUCAGGGGACAAACAUGUAAGAAACAUGAGAACAGAGAGAACCCAACCAGUAGGUCACAGUUUAUCAUCCCCCAGUCAUCUCCUGAAGUCCAUAUGGUGAGAGACAUCAGUAUCUGGUUGUUCAUUUACCAGAGGAUGCUUAUAAUCAUGCUGAUGUGGUCUGUACUCUACAGUAUUUUAGUGACUCAAUAAAUGCCUAAGUUGUUUUUUUUUAAAUGCUUUUUAGUUUUUAAUAAACAUUUAACAGCCUAUAUGUAAUCAAUAAAUGGCCUUUGCCUAUCUUAAGAAAAACUCACUCAGAACUCUGAUAUGUUAACAGUACUAAAUAAAUCAAUAAAUACAUGCAUACACACAAAAAUAAGUUAAUACAUUAACUGUGUUAAGAUAAGAUUUAGAUUUUUUUUAAAAAGUUGUUUAUUUUUUUGCAGAAUCCAGUAUUGCUCACUGGUUGGUCAUUACAUUUUAUUAGUUUGAUUUCACUGUUUAAAAUGAUGCCACCUCUUUUCAGACAGAACCUGUGAUAAUAAAACAAUACAAAAUUUUUAGUUCCGUGUUAAUAAAGCACUUAAAGCUUUAAGUAUGGCUAAAUGCUUUUUUCAAAAUUAAAUAUAUCACUCCUUAGGUGGUAGUGGCCCCAAGUUCAGUAAAGUUGGAAAGAUAUUCACAGAUUCAGACUUCCAGCAUCAAUAACUCAUUAGAUAUAGGUUGUCAAAACAUAAACGGUGCCUCUUUCCCAUUGUUGCAAGGCAGACAAUGUGCUACAAGCCCAGUUUUAUCAAAAGUAGCUGUCUUUCAAGCUACAGGAAUAACAUUGGUGUCUAUGGAGUGAACAGGGUCCGUCUGCAAUUUGCAAAACCUCUGCAACAGUAAAGAGAGACAAAUAUUCAAUAACUUCACUCUUAUACAUUGUAGUGUCACUAAAAUCACUGCAGCCUUCAACUGGCUCCUGUUGACAAAGUGUUUUAACAGAAAUGUAAAUGCUGUAAUGUGAUUCUUUUAAUGAACCAUGUAACUUGAAUGGAUGUGAUGCUGGUGUGACCACAGUGCACACGUCUGAUGUUGCUCACAGUGGUCCAAGGGACGCUCAGGGAGUUUGUGUGUUUGCUCAGACUCAGGAAAAAUUAGAGGGAACAUUGGUUCUGACCUCUGCAUUCUGGGAACACCCCACAAGACCUUACAAAGAUGCUCUGACCCAAUCUAAUCUUCACAAUCUGACUUACGUCAGACUCACUCAGAUCCGUGUGCUUCCUAUUUUUCCCGCUUCCAUCACAUCACCUUCAAAAACUGACUGUUCACUUUCGGCUUCAUACAUCCCAACCCUUGCAGCUGCCAUUUUAAGAAAUAAUCAGUGUUAUUCACUUCACCUGCCAGUGGUUUUAAUGUUGUCGCUGAUUAAUGUAUUUCAUAUAUAUUGUAGUCAUUUAGAAAAAUUUAUCUACUUUUUUCAUUCUAACAAAAAUAAGAAGCGAGUUAUUGGGAGAAAUUUAUUUCUGAUAAAACUUUUAAGGCUUUGGAAAGACACAUUUUCUGUCCCCUACAUUAUGAAAGCCUGUAAAUUAUCAACCUUCAAGCUAAUAUAAAAACUAAUAUGCAAAAUAUUGUCUAGAGCAAAGUGUAAAAGCCUUUCACCUUCUUAUGAAUGUAACAAAAGCUCGGAAACUUGAGCCAUGUCCGUUUC